GUUCCCUUUCUGAGGAAAAGAGAGUGGAUGGAGAUUAGGUGGGCAGCCAGCAGCCUUCCACAGUUGGGGUGGCCUUGUCCCACUUGCCCGCAUCAUAUAUAGGAAGUGGUUCCUUAAUCUCCAGAAGUUCCUGCGCUUGUCAAGCGACCCUCUCAAUGUCUGGAUAGUGUUUUCUCUCAAAAACUGAUGUAUGUUUGUAGGACUCAAAGGUGGCUGCAGAACUCCUCAGGGGACUUUCUUUUUUCUUUUUUUUUUAAUGAAAUCCAGAGCUACUGCUUUACUCUAGAAGCUCAGGGGCAGUCGUGAUGCCUAACAUGGACCCUUGUGCAAGCAUGACUACAAAACAGUGCCAGCCUCCCGUAUCGUGCCCGAGAUCCCCCGGUUCGGAGCAGAAGUCUUCAGGAGGCUGGGACCAGGAUGGAGGAGGACAGUUUUCUCACCUCCCGCCACCACACAUCUCCCCUGUCUGGUGAGUCACCCCUUCGCCUUGACGCAUGGUCUCUGAGUCACCACAUUUCUGCGCCCGCCUGUUGCAAGCGUUCCAGCCGAGGUGAGCCUCCCAUCAACAGAGAAGGUGUUCUUCUCCAGUUUUUCCUCACGUUUCUGUCUUCUCCUUGGCCUCAGUAGCACGAACAGUUGUCAGUCCGUGCCCCCCCCCCCCCCGCUUGAAGUACUUCAGUGUCCUUGUGGAGGAGGCUUCCCAGGAGGAAGGGCGCAGGCAUGUCUCAGCUCAGGGCGAGAACUUGGGGGGCUGGGGCACGGGCGUGGAGAGGGUGCCGGAGGCGAGGUGGGUGCCUGCGGCCGUUGCGCUCCUUUGCUGAGCUUACUCUUGUACGUCUCCCUGUCUUCUGGUUCCUCUUCUCCGAGUAGAGACCUUCUGAAUGGCACGGUGUGGAGGACGCUGGCCUCGCCUGACAGCUUCUCACCUGAGAAUCCCUCCUUUCUCUUGAGGAGAUAACGACGGGUGACUUUCUCAGACUCUGUAGACUUUGUAAUGGGCCGUGGCUGAUAAAACUCAUGAGCGCAUGCACCUCAACAACAAGGCCGGUGUGUCAUGUCCACGCUGGGCGACAUCUUGUCGUAACAGUAACUCUGCAGGAAUAUAGGCCACGCUUGUCCUCCCAGCGAUUAGACAGAUGCAUGUUUUCUGACACAAACCUUUCUCCAACAUGUCCUUGUACGUUUCCCCCCGGCCACCCACGCAACCCCCCAUUCUGAAUAGCAGGUCCCCUCCUGCUAAUGACAAACCCUUUGGGGCAGAGCCAGAAGUAGUUUCCAGAGACUGGAGACAUCACUGCCGGGGUGGUGCCGUCAGACCACCGCGCUCUUCGAUGGCCCCGAGCGAGCCUAGUUGUGUUGAAGCAGUUCCUCUUGCCAGCGCGUAAAGGGGAAGAAGAGGCUGGAGAGGACGUUCAACUUCUUCAUGACGCAAGUCGAUUUGGAAAUAUUAGGGGAGGAGGGAAGAGCGCUGUAACUUGCUUUUUUCAGCGUUAAAAGAUGCCAUCUCCCUGCUUACCUGCACAGAGUAUUUAAGCCAAAUUGUGGUUCAGUGGUUGACUGGGGCAGGUUGAAAAAAAUAUUCAGGGAAAUUGUAUAUUUUUAUACCAGUUACCCAUUGAUGAAGUAUUUCUUAAAUGCUUACCAUUCCAUUAGGCACUGUGAUAAAUUAGUUUAUCAGAUGUCUCAAAAUCAUGUCGAAAAUACGGUACGAAUACGGUUCUAAAAUACGUAAUCACUAAAGCUAGUAAACAGAUGAACAAGGUGCAGCUGGCCCAAAAAACACAUUGAGAGCUUAGAGGAAAGAUUUUUUUCCUUACUUCUAGACCAUAUUACAGCAAAAAAUUCCAAAGCAUGAAGCCCCUACGGAAGCCGCUGACACCCAUCCAUAUGGAGCCUCAGAUGUUGAGUACCGGGCUUCUCUUACUCAGCCAGUGGUGGGCGACCCCUUUGGCUCUGAGUCCUCUUCGGUUUCCAGUUCUCCCUCCAGCCAACCGGGGAGGGGCCGCUGAGCAUCCUCAGUCCCAUGGCAGGGCUGUGACACUGGAUUUCAGGUUAAUCUUGGGAAUCUGGAACAGGUCAUUUUAGUAAAACAUUUUAAAAUCCUUAGUCCAAGAUUGGUGCUUGUUUAGAACAUCUGUUCUGUGUUUUAGGGACUGGGAUAUAAAGGACUUUAUCCACAGAAUGCUUCUCCCAACCAUCCCUGGGUCGUUCCGCGAACAGGACUGAAAGGCCUUUGAAUCCCUUCCUCUCUGUGCAGGAGUUCGUGGGAACAGGCAUCCCUGCACCUUCUUUCCACACACGUCCUCUGCUUCCCAGCACCCAAGUUAUGGUUCUGUUCAAUGAGACGAAUGUAGAAAUAUCUGCGGUUGGGCGCCUGGGCGCCUCAGUCAGUUAAGCGUCUGCCUUCGGCUCAGGUCAUGAUCUUAGGAUCCUGGGAUCGAGCCCCGCAUCGGGCUCCCUGCUUAGGGGGUGGCCUGCUUCUCCCUCUGCCCCUCCCCCUGCUCAUGCUCACUCUCUUUCUCUCAAAUAAAUAAAUUAAACUCUUUAAAAAAAGGAAUAUCUGGGGUCUUUGAGGGGAAGAUUUUGCUUUACUGGUAAAAGAGAAGAAUGCGAUUGUGCUGCUUCUCUCCCCGUUCGACCUUGACUGCCGCGCACCUGAUGUCUGCAGGUGCAGCGUGGUCGGGAUGUGGACAGAAGCCCCCUUGCUGCGUGGCUGGAACAGGACACCGUAGAGUCCCCGCACCUGCCCUGUGAUGCUUAUUACCUCUGGACUUCUCGUGCCAGAAAAAGAAGCCCUCUCUUGUUGAAGUCACAGCCGACCUGAGUUUCUGUUAGAGUGGGCAGAAGCCUCCCGCACUGAUAGAGAAUUUGGUAUCUGAACAUGAGUGGCUCCCAGGAUUAUUUUUUAAAUCUAAUACAGAGCUUAGGAGGUAUUGCUUCUUUGUCACUGUAACAUGUAUACUGAGCAUUUUUUACGUGGCAGGCACUGUGCGAGACCAGUGACACAAGGAGAGGAGUCCAAGCCACACAGCAAUAGGAGCACGUAUUCAGCAGAGGUCGCUUUGUGAUCCACUGACUCAUUCAACAGUAACUUGCUGCUCCGCAGGGAAUCAGGCCCUCGGAGCUGAAGCUACAGACACAGACGUCCCAGCUCAGCGCUUCCAGGAGCACAGUCUUCCAAACAGCCAUCCUGCCUCCAGUGAACGUUGAGGAACUAGGACCAUGUAGCAGGCAGGCUCAGGAGCGCAUGUCUUGAAGGAAGACAUCAGUCAACAGGGUUACAGAGUUGCUCCGCUUUGUGGUAGUAUCAUAUGUACAAAAAGUUGGGUUCAGGGGGCAACAAAACAAAGGAUGGGGGGCAGCGCCUGAGGUGGCCCAGUGGGUCCGCCAGCAUGAAUGGCUGGGCUCUCCCUGUGCGAGGACAAAGUGCCGCUGUGUGGCUCCUGCUGCCAGCCUGUCUCCAUCUGCCUUGUCUCGCGUGUGGCCAAGAAACGACCCUGGUGAGAAGGCCUGCGUCCUUCUCCAGCCCCAUUUGCUUUAGGAAGUGUGCUAUGUGAUCCAUGCCCAUGUAUCCAGCACGCUCGCAGGGGCCCUUCUUAGCUCUUCCUGCUCCCCAACCAGUCCUUCUGCCCCCAAUUCAGCGAGCUUUCACAUCAGGACUAGGAGGUGUCUCCUCACUUUACAGGUGAGAAGGGAAGCCUGGAGUUGGCUGGUGACCGGAGUUGGCCCCAGAACCCACUUCUCCUGGUUCCUGGCCCUUCUGCCCAAACUGUUGGUAGUUCUGCUUUGGAGAAGCCCAGGGGGAUGAGCUGCUCUCCUGAACUGGGGUUGAUCCACCUGCUUCCCGAAUAACAGCUCCUUCCUUUGGAACCACUCCUGCCAGCUCAGAGCGCGUGGUUCCAGCAGGAGCCGUGUCCUUCAGGGCCCCCGUGGUGGCGGCGGCAAGGGGAGAGUGGGGUGGGGGCCCCAAGCACCACUGCCACCUGCCCUCGGUUGUGCUCCUGCCCUGUGGAGGAGGCCGGGUGGCCGUGAGCUAAUGAGAGGACUGGUGGAAAGAAGAGGCAAGAGACAGGCAGGGUCCUGGCUUGUAGCAGGGGCCCUGUGCCCGUUGCUCCCCCCGCAGGCCGUCACUUCUCCCUAUGGUUUGGGUGUUCUGCCUUUCGUUCUGAGUCACGUCAGCGUUCUUCCAGAUAACUGCCCUUUGGCCCAAGCUUCUUUGAGUUUGGUAUCUGUCCUUUCACACCAAGAGUGCCGAUGACCUCCACGGCUACCAGUGAAAUGCGCUUACCCCAUGGGACUGUGAUUUCAACUCUUGCCUUUUUUUUAACUGUCCACAUGCCGUCCUCCCCUCUAGUCAUUAACUGCCCUCCCAUCUGAGCAGCGACUGGGCAAGGCCCCAGACACAACCACAGCGUGUCCCCAGAACAUGAGACCGUCUAGAAUCAUUCCCCGGCUAAUUCUUGAAGCCAUCUUUAAGCAGCAAGGGCCUUGUAAGAGCUUAAAAGCUCUUCUCAGAUCCCAUCUAGACACUACGCAGCAGAUCUAUAAUUUAGCUUUCUUUUUAGUUUUAAACAUUUUAUUGCAAAAAUAACCCACAAUUCAGAAGGUCUGGAAAACCCUUAUUAUGUUGUACGUUUUUUGCUGUCCUAAUUGGGGUCUUUUUGGUCGAUAAGUAACCUCAGUGCCUUGGGACAGGAUAAUGACAUAAUUGUUUUCUUUGUAGACUCCCUUUAACUGUGGAAAAGUUUCUAUUUAAGCAGAAGAAUAUGAAGCAAAUUAAACUCAUACUGUUGAUAUUUGGGGUUAAGUUCAGGUGACCAGUAUCUAUUUGGCAUUUUAAGAACUUGUAAUUUUAAGAGAAUGUGGCAAAUAUGAGUAUCCAGGGACUGGCCUUGUAAUCCCACUUUAGUAUACAUAUUUGAGUAAUCGAUGUGGACUCGUGAUUUGACCUUAAAGUUGCAGUGCAAUUUUAUGAAGAUUGUAAGCAGUACGGGAACAUGUAAAAGAACUUAAGAUUCAGCAUAUUUAGUUGGUUAUUUGAGAGGGCUUGUGAGCAAACCAAAGUGUUCUGAAGUAUAAAGUAGUUCACAAAUGCAUUUUAAAUUGAGAAGGCAGUUGUUUAAAUUUCUCCGUGCAACCUGUCAUCAAGGUUACCCUUAACAGUGGCUGUUAAAUUUCACUGUAUUUUAUAUGAUAAGUUUAUAAGUAGAAUAACACAGUUUUAAGUUAAGCCUAAAAGCUUAAGGAAAACCCAAAAUUUUAAAUUUGGAUAAAAUGAAUGUUAAAAAUAGAAAUAACUCCAAGCAGUCUUUCAUAUAUAUAAAAGCCACCCUCAAGUACAGUAAAAAUCUGUGCUCCUCUAA